AGCAGCCGCGGUAAUUCCAGCUCCAAUAGCGUAUAUUAAAGUUGUUGCAGUUAAAAAGCUCGUAGUUGAAUUUCGGGAUCAAUUGAUUGGUCAUGCCUACGGUAUGUACUAGUCAUAUUGGUUCUCACCUUCUAAUGAACCUUAAUGUCAUUCACUUGAUGUUUUGGGGAAUUAGGACUGUUACCUUGAAAAAAUUAGAGUGUUUAAAGCAGGCUUACGCUUGAAUACAUUAGCAUGGAAUAAUGAAAUAGGACAUCGCAUUCUAUUUUGUUGGUUUCUAGGAUCGAUGUAAUGAUUAAUAGGGAUAGUUGGGGGCAUUAGUAUUCAAUUGUCAGAGGUGAAAUUCUUGGAUUUAUUGAAGACUAACUACUGCGAAAGCAUUUGCCAAGGAUGUUUUCAUUAAUCAAGAACGAAAGUUAGGGGAUCGAAGACGAUCAGAUACCGUCGUAGUCUUAACCAUAAACUAUGCCGACUAGGAUCGGAUGAUGUUAAUUUUAAAUGACUCU
rnacentral:sRNA from 1 species